UUGAGCCGUGUGCGGUGAAAGUCGCUUGCACGGUUCUUAGGGGGAGAUAGUACAGUAAUGUGCUGUCUCUAACCGGU
rnacentral:ncRNA from 1 species